rnacentral:rRNA from 1 species
AGAACGAACGCUGGCGGCAGGCUUAACACAUGCAAGUCGAGCGCCCCGCAAGGGGAGCGGCAGACGGGUGAGUAACGCGUGGGAACAUACCCUCCGGUUCGGAAUAGCUCAGGGAAACUUGGAUUAAUACCGGAUACGGCCUAGCGGCGAAAGAUUCAUCGCCGGAGGAUUGGCCCGCGUUCGAUUAGCUAGUUGGUGAGGUAACGGCUCACCAAGGCGACGAUCGAUAGCUGGUCUGAGAGGAUGAUCAGCCACAUUGGGACUGAGACGCGGCCCAAACUCCUACGGGAGGCAGCAGUGGGGAAUAUUGGACAAUGGGCGCAAGCCUGAUCCAGCCAUGCCGCGUGAGUGAUGACGGCCUUAGGGUUGUAAAGCUCUUUCGCUAGGGACGAUAAUGACGGUACCUAGACAAGAAGCCCGGCUAACUUCGUGCCAGCAGCCGC